AUUGAACGCUGGCGGCAGGCCUAACACAUGCAAGUCGAGCGAGCGGCGGACGGGUGAGUAAUGUAUGGGGACUGCCCGAUAGAGGGGGGUAACUACUGGAAACGGUAGCUAAUACCGCAUACUAUCGGAUAACCCAUAUGGGAUUAGCUAGUAGGUGAGGUAAUGGCUCACCUAGGCGACGAUCCCUAGCUGGUCUGAGAGGAUGAUCAGCGACACUGGGACUGGUACACGGCCCAGACUCCGACGGAGGCAGCAGUGGGGAAUAGUGCACAAUGGGCGCAAGCCUGAUGCAGCCAUGCCGCGUGUAUGAAGAAGGCCCUAGGGUUGUAAAGUACUUUCAGUCGGGAGGCGUUACCAACAGAAGAAGCACCGGCUAACUCCGUGCCAGCAGCCGCGGUAAUAC
rnacentral:rRNA from 1 species